rnacentral:rRNA from 1 species
AACGAACGCUGGCGGCAUGCCUAACACAUGCAAGUCGAACGAGACCUUCGGGUCUAGUGGCGCACGGGUGCGUAACACGUGGGAAUCUGCCCUUUGCUUCGGAAUAACAGUUAGAAAUGACUGCUAAUACCGGAUGAUGUCGAAAGACCAAAGAUUUAUCGGCAAAGGAUGAGCCCGCGUAGGAUUAGGUAGUUGGUGGGGUAAAGGCCUACCAAGCCGACGAUCCUUAGCUGGUCUGAGAGGAUGAUCAGCCACACUGGGACUGAGACGCGGCCCAGACUCCUACGGGAGGCAGCAGUGGGUAAUAUUGGACAAUGGGCGAAAGCCUGAUCCAGCAAUGCCGCGUGAGUGAUGAAGGCCUUAGGGUUGUAAAGCUCUUUUACCAGGGAUGAUAAUGACAGUACCUGGAGAAUAAGCUCCGGCUAACUCCGUG